rnacentral:rRNA from 1 species
AACGAACGCUGGCGGCAUGCCUAACACAUGCAAGUCGAACGAUCCCUUCGGGGAUAGUGGCGCACGGGUGCGUAACGCGUGGGAAUCUGCCCUUGGCUUCGGAAUAACAGUUAGAAAUGACUGCUAAUACCGGAUGAUGUCUCCCUUAGUGAUAUUGGGGACCAAAGAUUUAUCGGCCAGGGAUGAGCCCGCGUAGGAUUAGGUAGUUGGUGAGGUAAGGGCUCACCAAGCCGACGAUCCUUAGCUGGUCUGAGAGGAUGAUCAGCCACACUGGGACUGAGACACGGCCCAGACUCCUACGGGAGGCAGCAGUGGGGAAUAUUGGACAAUGGGCGCAAGCCUGAUCCAGCAAUGCCGCGUGAGUGAUGAAGGCCUUCGGGUCGUAAAGCUCUUUUACCAGGGAUGAUAAUGACAGUACCUGGAGAAUAAGCUCCGGCUAACUCCGUGCCAGCCGCCGCCGUAACAC